rnacentral:lncRNA from 1 species
AGCAACCAAUGCAGAUUAUAUUCAUUAAAAAGAAGAAACACAAAUCAUUUUUUGAACAUUAAACUUCUUGAACUAUACUAGUGCAUCUCAAAAAUUAGAAUAUAACUGAAAAAGUUACUUUAUUUCAGUAAUUCAGUUUAAAAUGUGAAACUCAUAUAAAAGUAAGCAUUUCUUUUAUUGUUGAUGAUUAUGGCUUACAGCCAACAAAAACCCAAAAAUUAAUGUCUCAGAAAAUUUGAAUAUGAUAUAAGACUAAUUUGUACUUUUGGCAGUGUGCCAAGUCCUGCUGAAAAAUUAAAUCCGCAUCUCCAUAAAAGUUGUCAGCAGAGGGAAGCAUGAAGUGCUGUAAGAUUCUCGGGAAAACACUCUGCACAAAUCCUCUGCACUGACUUUGGAUUUGGUAUAGCACAGUGGACCAACACCAGCAGAUGACAUGUCUCUCUAAACCAUCACUGAUUGGGGAAACUUCACACUAGACCUCAAGCAGCUUGAACUGUGUGUGUCUCCACUCUUCCUCCACUCUACUCUACUCCCUUGAUUUCCAAAUGAAAAUCUGAAGAUGUGUUUGUCCUUCCAUAACUUUAUUUUUGCACAAAAUCUUCAAUAGAUAACUUUGGCUUGUCAGCAGCUAAUUGCUAAGCAGGGUAUAAUUCAGUAACGUGGAGUACUCUCUGGUACCACAUCAAUUUUUUUGUGUUUCAUGCUCAAUUUAAGAUGAUACUGUAUAAAAACACAACAACAUCCUCUUGAUACUAAAUGCUAUGUACAUUAUGUAGUACAUUUCCCAGACUGGGAUUCAGUCCUUGCUUGGUAUACACAGCAUUUUAAAUAGUUUUUUUUUUUCCUCCCAAUUUAGCCGCUACUCAGCUGUAUGUCCCUCAUUACUGGCGAUGCCACAACUCAAGGAGGGUGAAGACUAACACACGCCUCCUCGGACGCAUGUGAAUCAUUGUCGAGAAUCCAGAACACUCGGAGGAAAGUGCAGUGACUCGAAGCAGCGAGCCGCUCCAUUUGGGACAUGGCUAUACUCACCACCGCCUGCAACAGUGCGUGGAACAUUGCGUCAGCUCUGAAGAUGAAGUCCUCAUGAGGGUGUCGAGGAGGGAACCACAGGAGAGCUGAGCCAGGUGUGUUUCUGACAGCAGUCUCUAACUGCCUCUAUGACAAGUGAACCAGCACACACCUACACAGGUGUGAGGAUGACAGGUGACAGAAAAGAAGCAGUCACACGCUGA